CUACGGGUGGCUCCAGUGAGGAAUAUUGCACAAUGGGGGGAACCCUGAUGCAGCAACGCCGCGUGGAGGAUGACGCAUUUCGGUGUGUAAACUCCUUUUAUAUGUCAAGAAAAUGACGGUAGCAUAUGAAUAAGCACCGGCUAACUCCGUGCCAGCAGCCGCGAGUAAUACGGAGGGUGCAAGCGUUACUCGGAAUCACUGGGCGUAAAGGACGCGUAGGCGGGUUGGAAAGUCAGGUGUGAAAUCCUACAGCUUAACUGUAGAACUGCACUUGAAACUUCUAAUCUAGAGUAUGGGAGGGGGAGAUGGAAUUAGUGGUGUAGGGGUAAAAUCCGUAGAUAUCACUAGGAAUACCUAAAGCGAAGGCGAUCUCCUGGAACAUUACUGACGCUAAGGCGUGAAAGCGUGGGGAGCAAACAGGAUUAGAUACCCCAGUAGUC
rnacentral:rRNA from 1 species